rnacentral:antisense_RNA from 1 species
CUUCAGCGAGCCGAGCCACAGCGGGCGGCCCUCCGGACGCUCCUGACCAUAGGUGGCGAGCAGGGCGCCCGCCUC